rnacentral:lncRNA from 1 species
GUCCACUAGGAUUUCAGCAGAUACUCUAAGGGUAUGGCUGGGUUUGUUAAAGUCCAGAGAAAGAACUUUCAAGAACCAGCAAAGAAAAUAUGUCAAAACUCCAAAUUCUAAAGGGCUAGCCCAUCUGAGCAGAGCAACAAGAUUACAAUCAAGAAUGAUGCAGAGAAGGGCAACCACCAUAGUGCGAUGAUCUGCUAAGCCUGAAAAUGAAGAUUUAUGCCGGAAAGCCUGGCAGGACCCUAAAAUGCAGCAUUGCAAGUUGUGGGAAUGUAAUAAUGUAAGCUCAUUCCUAAUAAAACCAAC